UUCUGGUUGAUCCUGCCAGAGGCGACCGCUUUUGGAGUUCGAUUAAGCCAUGCGAGUAGAAAGAAAUUAGAUUCUUUGCGAACUGCUCAGUAACACGUGGAUAACCUGCCCUAUGCUCCGGAAUAACCUCGGGAAACUGAGAAUAAUACCGGAUAGAUCACAACGCCUGGAACGGUGUGUGGUUGAAAGAUUACGGCAUAGGAUGGGUCUGCGGCGUAUCAGGUUGUAGGGGGUGUAAAGGACCUCCUAGCCAUCGACGCGUACGGGUGUUGGGAGACAUAGCCCGGAGAUGGAUUCUGAGACACGAAUCCAGACCCUACGGGGUGCAGCAGGCGCGAAAACUUCACACUGCAGGAAACUGUGAUGAGGGAACUCCAAGUGCACGCACUUAGUGUGUGCUUUUUUCAACUAUUAAUCGGUUGAAGAAUAAGGGCUGGGAAAGACCGGUGCCAGCCGCCGCGGUAAUACCGGCAGCUCAAGUGGUCGUCGCUUUUAUUGGGCCUAAAACGUCCGUAGCCUGUUUGGUAAAUCUGUGGGUAAAUCAACCAGCUUAACUGGUUGAAUUCUGCAGAGACUGCCAGACUAGGGACCGGGAGAGGUGUGGGGUACUCUAGGGGUAGGGGUAAAAUCCUGUCAUCCUUAGAGGACCACCAGUUGCGAAGGCGCCACACUGGAACGGAUCCGACGGUCAGGGACGAAGCCUAGGGGCACGAACCGGAUUAGAUACCCGGGUAGUCCUAGGUGUAAACGCUGUGAACUUGGUGUCGGGGAUCCGUCAUGGGUCCCCGGUGCCGGAGUGAAGAUGUUAAGUUCACUGCCUGGGGAGUACGGUCGCAAGGCUGAAACUUAAAGGAAUUGGCGGGGGAGCACUGCAACGGGAGGAGCGUGCGGUUUAAUUGGACUCAACGCCGGGA
rnacentral:rRNA from 1 species